rnacentral:tRNA from 1 species
GUGCCCGUAGCUCAGCCGGAUAGAGCAGCUGCCUUCUAAGCAGCCGGUCGCUGGUUCGAAUCCAGCCGGGCACGCCA